rnacentral:lncRNA from 1 species
AUGCCUGCCCCCAGCCACAUUUUUCAGAGACAGCGUCUCGCAUCUGGGAUUUCACAAGCGACAGUGGGGGAGGUGGGUGGGAGCCGAGCGCGGUCCUUGCUCCUGCAUUCUCGGGAUGGAAUGAGACAGAGCCUGUUUGGCGCUGAAGACAGAGCUCUGGGGAUGAAUUUAUCAGAUAAACUACAAUUUUCUCUGUGCUUAUCGUCUGAACCAGAAAUUACAAUCUUGAACACUUGUGGAGCUGGAAAAGCUCGAUCUGUGUCAGCACGGCCCUAGAAGUGGACAAGACGCCUGAAGGGCAGUCUGGCCUUUGGAAUCCGUCCAUGCCUGUUUCUCCGGAGGGACUCAGGCCCCAUCCCCACCAGCAGAAAGCCAGCGUGCUUGGGAAUACACAGAGCUAUGCGUAAAAUGGAAAUGUUUACAAUGCAGAAUCUGUGCUGUCCAGUCUAAGUGGGGCCGGCGUACUAUUAAAAGCGAGAGACGAGAAACGUGAAGAGAACAAAAGCCGUGCCGUCCAGCAAAGCCACAAUAUCCAGUCCCACAUCACGUCCAUUGCCCCAAAGGAAGUCCUCAUUGAGCAACCUCUUCCCACCCCCUCAGCCCCCAGCCCCUGGUAACCACGGACUCGCUUUCUGUCUCUAUAGAUGGGCUGAAUCUGGAGAGUUCCUAUAACUGGAAUCACACAGCAUGAUUUGUGUCUGGCUGCUCUGACCUCGCACAGUAUUUUCAAGGUUCAUGCAUGUUAUAUAGCAUGUAUCAACACUUCCUUUUUAUACCAGAAGAUUGCAUUAUGAUACCACACUUUGGAGUUCCUGUGGUGGCUCAGUGAUUAACAAACCCAACUAGGAUCCAUGAGGAAGCAGGUUCGAUCCCUGGGCUCGCUCAGUGGGUUAAGGAUCCCGGGCUGCAGUGAGCCGUGGUGUAGGUCGCAGAUGCAGGUCAGAUCUGGCAUUGCUGUGGCUGUGGUGUAGGCUGGCAGCUGCAGCUCUGAUUAGACCCCUAGCCUGGGAACCUCCAUAUGCUGAGGGUAUGACCCUAAAAAGCAAAAUAAUAAUAAUCAUCAUUAUAAUAGCACACUUUAUUUAUCCAUGCAUCUGUUGAUGGACAUUUGGGUCGGUCCACUUGGGGCUAUGGUAAACAGUGCUGCUGCAAACAUCUGAGGGCACGUGUUUGAGUUGUUGUGUUCAGAUCUUUGGGGUACCUGCUGAGGAGUUGAAAUGCUGGGUCAUAUGAUAAUUUUAUUUUAUUUUAUUUUUAAUUUUAUUUAUUUAUUUAU